CGGCGAGCGGACGGCUACAUUUACGGGAUCUCCCGGAGGGCCAGAGUCGUGGCUUACAGAAGAGACGAAAUGUGGUCUGAGGGACGAUAUGAAUAUGAAAGAAUUCCGAGAGAACGAGCACCUCCUCGAAGUCAUCCCAGUGAUGGCUACAAUAGACUAGUUAAUAUUGUGCCAAAGAAACCACCACUGCUAGACAGACCUGGUGAAGGAAGCUACAAUAGAUAUUACAGUCAUGUUGAUUACCGAGACUAUGACGAGGGCCGCAGUUUUUCUCAUGAUCGAAGAAGUGGUCCACCUCACAGAGGAGAUGAAUCUGGUUAUAGAUGGACAAGAGACGAUCAUUCUGCAAGCAGGCAACCUGAAUACAGAGUAUGGAGUUCAUUCUGUAUGGUAUAUUCAUUCAUUUAUUAAAUAUUUCUUGUGGUAUCUGAUAUGUCAAAUGCUCUUCUAGUCUCUGGGAAUAUAAAGCCUCUGUCUUCAUGUAGCCUACAUUUUAAUAUGAAUUAUACAUAUUUAACAAAUAACAAAACAUAAUUUUUACGAAGAAAAAGCAGGGAAUAGAGAGUAUUUGUACUGUCCACACCUGCCUGUGUCUUCACUUGAUGUCUGAGUAUCUUCAAUAAUGUCUCAGGUGUUAUGCUAUCACAGUAGCUAUAGCUUUUACUGCCUGGCAUCUAUCUGGCUUCUGUAAGCUGUUCUCUAUAUCAGGUGGGCUCAUUGACGAUUUCCUACUUGAAAGACUUUGUGAACAGAAAAUAGCUGUUGUUGU
rnacentral:sRNA from 1 species